CACGAACGCUGGCGGCAGGCUUAACACAUGCAAGUCGAGCGUCCCGCAAGGGGAGCGGUAGACGGGUGAGUAACGCGUGGGAAUCUACCCAUCUCUACGGAAUAACGCAUGGAAACGUGUGCUAAUACCGUAUACGUCCUUCGGGAGAAAGAUUUAUCGGAGAUGGAUGAGCCCGCGUUGGAUUAGCUAGUUGGUGGGGUAAAGGCCUACCAAGGCGACGAUCCAUAGCUGGUCUGAGAGGAUGAUCAGCCACACUGGGACUGAGACACGGCCCAGACUCCUACGGGAGGCAGCAGUGGGGAAUAUUGGACAAUGGGCGCAAGCCUGAUCCAGCCAUGCCGCGUGAGUGAUGAAGGCCCUAGGGUUGUAAAGCUCUUUCACCGGUGAAGAUAAUGACGGUAACCGGAGAAGAAGCCCCGGCUAACUUCGUGCCAGCCGCCGCAGUAAGAC
rnacentral:rRNA from 1 species